UAGAGGGGCGGCAGGUAACCUAGUGGUUAGAGGGGCGGCAGGUAGCCUAGUGGUUAGAGGGGCGGCAGGUAGCCUAGUGGUUAGAGGGGCGGCAGGUAGCCUAGUGGUUAGAGGGGCGGCAGGUAGCCUAGUGGUUAGAGGGGCGGCAGGUAGCCUAGUGGUUAGAGGGGCGGCAGGUAGCCUAGUGGUUAGAGGGGCGGCAGGUAACCUAGUGGUUAGAGGGGCGGCAGGUAGCCUAGUGGUUAGAGGGGCGGCAGGUAGCCUAGUGGUUAGAGGGGCGGCAGGUAGCCUAGUGGUUAGAGGGGCGGCAGGUAGCCUAGUGGUUAGAGGGGCGGCAGGUAGCCUAGUGGUUAGAGGGGCGGCAGGUAGCCUAGUGGUUAGAGGGGCGGCAGGUAGCCUAGUGGUUAGAGGGGCGGCAGGUAGCCUAGUUAUUAGAGGGGCGGUAGAUAGCCUAGUGGUUAGAGGGGCGGUAGGUAGCCUAGUGGUUAGAGGGGCGGCAGGUAGCCUAGUUAUUAGAGGGGCGGUAGAUAGCCUAGUGGUUAGAGGGGCGGUAGGUAGCCUAGUGGUUAGAGGGGCGGCAGGUAGCCUAGUUAUUAGAGGGGCGGUAGAUAGCCUAGUGGUUAGAGUGUACCAGUGUAUCUCUGUCCUGUCUGUCUCCUACAGGUCAGAGUGGACUAGGGAAGUCUACCCUGGUCAACACUAAACAGUG